rnacentral:rRNA from 1 species
GAUGAACGCUGGCGGCGUGCCUAAUACAUGCAAGUCGAGCGAACGGACGAGAAGCUUGCUUCUCUGAUGUUAGCGGCGGACGGGUGAGUAACACGUGGAUAACCUACCUAUAAGACUGGGAUAACUUCGGGAAACCGUAGCUAAUACCGGAUAAUAUUUUGAACCGCAUGGUUCAAAAGUGAGAGACGGUCUUGCUGUCACUUAUAGAUGGAUCCGCGCUGCAUUAGCUAGUUGGUAAGGUAACGGCCUACCAAGGCAACGAUGCAUAGCCGACCUGAGAGGGGGGUUGGCCACAAUGGAACGUGAACACGGUCCAGGCGCCUACGGGAGGCAGCAGUAGGGAAUCUUCCGCAAUGGGCGAAAGCCUGACGGAGCAACGCCGCGUGAGUGAUGAAGGUCUUCGGAUCGUAAAACUCUGUUAUUAGGGAAGAACAUAUGUGUAAGUAACUGUGCACAUCUUGACGGUACCUAAUCAGAAAGCCACGGCUAACUACGUG